AACGAACGCUGGCGGCAUGCCUAACACAUGCAAGUCGAACGGAACCUUCGGGCUUACUGGCGCACUGGUCCGUAACGCGUUGGAACCUGCCCUUAGGUUCGGAUGAACUCCCCGAAUAAGGUGCUAAUACCGGAUCUUAUCUUCCGAACAAAGGUUUAUCGCCUUUGGAUGGGCUUGCGUUGUCUUAGUUUGUUGUUAGCGUAAAAGCCUACCACUGCUAGGUUCCAUAGCUGGUUAGCGAGGAUGAUAAGCGACACUGGGACUGAGACACGGCCCAGAAUCCUACGGGAGGAAGGAGUGGGGAAUAUUGGACAAUGGGCGGAGGCAUGAACGAGCAAUGACGGGUGAGUGAUGAAGGUCUUAGGGUUGUAAAGCUAUUUUACCCGGGAUGAUAAUGACAGUACCGGGAGAAUAAGCUCCGGCUAACUCCGUG
rnacentral:rRNA from 1 species